UAAUUGGAUACACUCGCACAGCCCCGGCACAUCUCCGAUCUCGCACCACACUUCCAAGUGCAUUUCAAAUUGCUAAUGAUGAGGAGCCGGUCGGUGUACGGAGCUGCUGCAAUGGCCAUAGCUGGCUCCAUCAUUGCGAGAUGCUUUCGUGAGACAAGCGACAUGCCAUGGUCAAGUCUUUGGCCAGUUCCCCAGGGCCAGCCCACCGCCAUCAGCCCAUCAUCCAGAACAUCCAACCCAAGCAGAUCCAGAGCCAACCCAGGAAAAUCCAUUCACUCCAUGCGACCCAGCGGAGCAUUAAAUGCAUUUAUUUAUGAGACCACCUGAUGCAAUCUACGACUGAAAUUGCAUAGCUCAUAUGCAUAUGAUGCGAAGGUGAUACUGAAUUUAGCUAGAAUUCACACCUCGCUUUAACCAGGCGGUUGCAUAAUAAUAUAUUAUGCUCAGGUACUGAAUCUAAGCUCCUGUAUCCACUUUGCCUUCUGCUACUUGCAACUUGUGGGCUUCAAAUCAGACCUACAAUGCAAUAAAUUAUCAAAAGGAGUUUUG
ensembl:ncRNA lncRNA:CR45993 long non-coding RNA:CR45993